CCGUUUUUCCCCGAAUUUUUUGGAUUUUUCCCAAACUCUCCCUUUUUCUCCCCAAAAGGUGAUCCCCAAGAGGACCAACCGGCCCGGCAUCAGCAGCACCGACCGCGGAUUCCCCCGGGGGCGUUUCCGGGGGCGGGGGGGGGGAUUCGGCUCCGCCCGCUCGCGCUUCUACAGCGGCUACGCCCGGCCCCGCGCCCGGGGAUACAGGGGCCGAUCCAGAGCCACCUCCUGGUAUUCCCCAUAUUAAACAAAAAAAUCCCAAAUUUUCCCUUUUUUCCCCCCAAAAAAAAAUCCCAAAAAAAAUUGGAGGGUGGGGGGAGGGGCCCCACAAGCCCCGCCCCCACCCCAGGCCACGCCCCCUUCCCAAAAAAAAAAAAAAAUCCCAAAUUUUUAUUUUUUUUUCCCCAAAAAUUCCAAGUUUGUUUUUUGCAGGUGGA